GGGUCCGUAGCUCAGUUGGAAAGAGCGUCCCACUCGUAGGGGUAAGGUCGCCAGUUCGAAUCUGGUCGGGCCCUCCA
rnacentral:tRNA from 1 species